ensembl:lncRNA
AGUCUUUAGUGCAAACCUAUGAGAGGGGUACCAUGGUUAUGCCCAUUUUAGAGGUGAGGUCCAUGGAGGAGAAGUAGCUUGUCUAGUGUUACAUAACUUGGAUGCUCUGCAACUUCAAUUCCUGUGGAUGAUGGAACACACAAGUACUUUCCAAGACAUAGAUGCCAUACUUUAUGACCCAAGCUGCCUUCUGGAUCAGAAAGAUACUGGAAGCUGUAAAACACACAAAGCCGGGCUUUGUUAUCACCUGAGUGUGCAGAAGGACACGCUGAGUGUGGCCACCUCCUGCUUCUAUCACAUGUCCUCCAUUUUCUCCACUCCACUUUCCUGGGUCCAUCCCUGGAUAGAGGAUGGAAGAAGCCAAAGUAAAACCUGGCUGCCUGGGGCUAGCUGCCUGUCCAUGGAAGGAAGAGAAGCCUGAAGAUAUGCAGUCAAUCUUUGCUAUUAAGCUCCACAUUCAUCAGGGACCCAGGCUCUGCUAUUUUCCUGCUCCCUUGUGGCUUCCAUUUUCAAGGUUUCAAAAUGCCUGCUGCUGGAACUCCUCAGUCUGCACAGCAGGAAGGAGUAAGGGAGCAAAAGAAAUGUGGCACCCUCUGGCCACAUUAGAGACCUCGCAGGAGUCUUUCUAGAUCUCUCUUCCAUGGUCAUUCAGGCCAAAUUAGACCAAGCACACCCAAGACCAGGGCAUGGAUAUCUUACAUCCAAGAGGCGGAUCUGGAGCUCAGAAAAGAAGUCUGGGCUGGAGUGCAAAAUUUGGGACUUGUUAGCAUACAAAUGAUAAUUAAAGCAAGCAUUGUGGAUGAAAUUGUACGGGUGCCUGUUGAGAGGGGAAAAAGAGGAAGGGCUCUGACAUUUAAGCUGGAGAAGGAGCUGGCAAAAACGACUGAGCUUUUUAAAUCUCAGCAUCAGAGAAUCAAUGAGUUGGGGGAGUGGCAGAGGUGAUGUUGAACCUUGCACCUGGAACAGGGGUUCUUGCUUCAGCAUUCCUGGCGGAUGGCGCCCAGCCUGUGCUUUGACAUCUACAGUGCUAGACGGUGCCAAAUGUUGAGACAGUCUUAUACCAAGCAGAAUUGUUUCUCUAUAAUAUCCUGGCCCCUGUUCUGCUUUCUCAUGCGUCAGAAAUCCAGCCUGAUUUUAUUGUUUGCUUGUGCAUAAUAGCUCUUGAAAUAGUGUGGAAUAGUUAAGUGCCUAAUACAUGUAAUGUGAUCAACUGUUAAUGUUGUUUAUACAUUGUUGUUGUUAUCGUGAUUUUCGUUUCAUGCUUGCUCACAGCAAAGGCUUUAAAGCCUGCAUUCUAAUCUUGGGUCUGACCCUUUCUAGCCAUGUCAUGUCAUCUCAAUACCAAG